rnacentral:rRNA from 1 species
CUGAAUAGGGCGCUUAGUCAGAUGCUGCAGACCCGAAACGAAGUGAUCUAUCCAUGAGCAAGUUGAAGCUAGUGUAAGAACUAGUGGAGGACUGAACCCAUAGGCGUUGAAAAGCCCCGGGAUGACUUGUGGAUAGGGGUGAAAGGCCAAUCAAACUUCGUGAUAGCUGGUUCUCUCCGAAAUAUAUUUAGGUAUAGCGUUGUGUCGUAAUAUAAGGGGGUAGAGCACUGAAUGGGCUAGGGCAUACACCAAUGUACCAAACCCUAUCAAACUCCGAAUACCUUAUAUGUAAUCACAGCAGUCAGGCGGCGAGUGAUAAAAUCCGUCGUCAAGAGGGAAACAACCCAGACUACCAGCUAAGGUCCCUAAAUCUUACUUAAGUGGAAAACGAUGUGAAGUUACUUAAACAACCAGGAGGUUGGCUUAGAAGCAGCCAUCCUUUAAAGAAAGCGUAAUAGCUCACUGGUCUAGUGAUUUUGCGCGGAAAAUAUAACGGGGCUAAAGUAAGUACCGAAGCUGUAGACUUGCGCACAACUUAGAUUAUUUAAGUUUAGAAUAUGAGAAACUAAGUUAUAUGUUUAGUUAUAUUUUUACUGAUUUUUAUAGAGUAAAGAUAGAAAUAAAACUUAGUAAAAUCAGUAAAAAUAUUCUUAGACUAAAGUUAAGUAGUUUAAGUUGUGUGCAAGUGGUAGGAGAGCGUUCUAUUUGCGUCGAAGGUAUACCGGUAAGGAGUGCUGGAGCGAAUAGAAGUGAGCAUGCAGGCAUGAGUAGCGAUAAUUAAUGUGAGAAUCAUUAACGCCGUAAACCCAAGGUUUCCUACGCGAUGCUCGUCAUCGUAGGGUUAGUCGGGUCCUAAGUCGAGUCCGAAAGGGGUAGACGAUGGCAAAUUGGUUAAUAUUCCAAUACCAACAUUAGUGUGCGAUGGAAGGACGCUUAGGGCUAAGGGGGCUAGCGGAUGGAAGUGCUAGUCUAAGGUCGUAGGAGGUUAUACAGGCAAAUCCGUAUAACAAUACUCCGAGAACUGAAAGGCUUUUUGAAGUCUUCGGAUGGAUAGAAGAACCCCUGAUGCCGUCGAGCCAAGAAAAGUUUCUAAGUUUAGCUAAUGUUGCCCGUACCGUAAACCGACACAGGUGGGUGGGAUGAGUAUUCUAAGGCGCGUGGAAGAACUCUCUUUAAGGAACUCUGCAAAAUAGCACCGUAUCUUCGGUAUAAGGUGUGGUUCGCUUCGUAUUAGGAUUUACUCCGAAAGCGAAGAAACUUACAACAAAGAGUCCCUCCCGACUGUUUACCAAAAACACAGCACUCUGCUAACUCGUAAGAGGAUGUAUAGGGUGUGACGCCUGCCCGGUGCUCGAAGGUUAAUUGAUGGGGUUAGCAUUAGCGAAGCUCUUGAUCGAAGCCCGAGUAAACGGCGGCCGUAACUAUAACGGUCCUAAGGUAGCGAAAUUCCUUGUCGGUUAAAUACCGACCUGCAUGAAUGGCGUAACGAGAUGGGAGCUGUCUCAAAGAGGGAUCCAGUGAAAUUGUAGUGGAGGUGAAAAUUCCUCCUACCCGCGGCAAGACGGAAAGACCCCGUGGACCUUUACUACAGCUUGACACUGCUACUUGGAUAAGAAUGUGCAGGAUAGGUGGGAGGCUUUGAGUAUAUGACGCCAGUUGUAUAUGAGCCAUUGUUGAGAUACCACUCUUUCUUAUUUGGGUAGCUAACCAGCUUGAGUUAUCCUCAAGUGGGACAAUGUCUGGUGGGUAGUUUGACUGGGGCGGUCGCCUCCCAAAUAAUAACGGAGGCUUACAAAGGUUGGCUCAGAACGGUUGGAAAUCGUUCGUAGAGUAUAAAGGUAUAAGCCAGCUUAACUGCAAGACAUACAAGUCAAGCAGAGACGAAAGUCGGUCUUAGUGAUCCGGUGGUUCUGUGUGGAAGGGCCAUCGCUCAAAGGAUAAAAGGUACCCCGGGGAUAACAGGCUGAUCUCCCCCAAGAGCUCACAUCGACGGGGAGGUUUGGCACCUCGAUGUCGGCUCAUCGCAUCCUGGGGCUGGAGCAGGUCCCAAGGGUAUGGCUGUUCGCCAUUUAAAGCGGUACGCGAGCUGGGUUCAGAACGUCGUGAGACAGUUCGGUCCCUAUCUGCCGUGGGCGUAAGAAGAUUGAAGAGAUUUGACCCUAGUACGAGAGGACCGGGUUGAACAAACCACUGGUGUAGCUGUUGUUCUGCCAAGAGCAUCGCAGCGUAGCUAAGUUUGGAAAGGAUAAACGCUGAAAGCAUCUAAGCGUGAAGCCAACUCUAAGAUGAAUCUUCUCUAAGCUCUCUAGAAGACUACUAGUUUGAUAGGCUGGGUGUGUAAUGGAUGAAAGUCCUUUAGCUGACCAGUACUAAUAGAGCGUUUGGCUUAUCUUUAAUAAAGCAU